GGCCUGAUGGUCUAGUAGUAUGAUUCUCGCUUUGGGUGCUGAACUCUGGCAUUCUUUGCGAGAGGUCCGGGGUUCAAUUCCCCGUCAGGCCC